UACGGAGGGGGCAAGCGUUGUCCGGAAUUAUGGGGCGUAAAGAGCGUGUAGGCGGCCAGAUAAGUCCGCUGUGAAAUCUCGAGGCUCAACUUCGAGCUGUCGGUGGAAACUAUCUGGCUAGAGUCCGGAAGAGGAGAAUGGAAUUCCUGGUGUAGCGGUGAAAUGCGCAGAUAUCAGGAAGAACACCCGUGGCGAAGGCGGUUCUCUGGGACGGUACUGACGCUGAGACGCGAAAGCGUGGGGAGCGAACAGG
rnacentral:rRNA from 1 species